rnacentral:rRNA from 1 species
CUGCCUGCCCAGUGACAUUAGUUAAACGGCCGCGGUAUCCUGACCGUGCAAAGGUAGCAUAAUCAUUUGUUCUUUAAAUAAGGACUUGUAUGAAUGGCCCCACGAGGGUUUAACUGUCUCUUACUUCCGAUCAGUGAAAUUGACCUUCCCGUGAAGAGGCGGGAAUAAAAUAACAAGACGAGAAGACCCUAUGGAGCUUCAAUUAAUUAACCCAUAAUAACUCACUUAAAUACCAAUAGGCUUAAUAUUACUUUAUUAAUGGGUUAACAAUUUAGGUUGGGGUGACCUCGGAGAACAAAAAAUCCUCCGAGUGAUUUUAGCUUAGACAAACCAGUCAAAGCACUUCAUCAUUUAUUGAUCCAAUAAUUUGAUCAACGGAACAAGUUACCCUAGGGAUAACAGCGCAAUCCUAUUCAAGAGUUCAUAUCAACAAUAGGGUUUACGACCUCGAUGUUGGAUCAGGACAUCCUAAUGGUGCAGCAGCUAUUAAAGGUUCGUUUGUUCAACGAUUAAAGUCCUACGUGAUCUGAGUUCAAACCGGAG